CGUGUAGGCGGUCGGUUAAGUCUGAUGUGAAAGCCCGGGGCUUAACCUCGGAAGGGCGUUGGAAACUGGCCGACUUGAGUUCGGGAGAGGGAAGCGGAAUUCCGGGUGUAGAGGUGAAAUUCGUAGAUAUCCGGAGGAACACCGGUGGCGAAGGCGGCUUCCUGGACCGAAACUGACGCUGAGACGCGAAAGCGUGGGGAGCAAACAGGAUUAGAUACCCUGGUAGUCCACGCUGUAAACGAUGGGCACUAGGUGUGGGGGGUUUUUAAUCCCCCCGUGCCGCAGCUAACGCAUUAAGUGCCCCGCCUGGGGAGUACGGCCGCAAGGUUAAA
rnacentral:rRNA from 1 species